AGCUCUUUACUAAUAGUAAUAUAUAUACUUCCACACUUAUCUAUUUCUUCUUACCCUAAUUCCUUGUGUAGUAUUUUAAUUCCGAUAAUUUCAAAUUUUAAUGGCUGAUCUGGGAAUUUCCAUUGCUGAGAAACUCAUUGAAGUGAUUGGGACAGAGAUCAUCAAAGAGAUUUGUAAUUUAUGGGGAUACAAAGCUCAACUUGAAGAUCUUAGCAACACUGUUACCACCAUCAAGAAUGUGCUCCUUGAUGCUGAGGCCAAGCGUGAACUCACUCAUAAGCAGCAAGGGUACAUAAAGGAGCUGAAGAAUGUUGUGUAUGAUGCUGAUGAUUUGUUCGAUCAGUUCCUCACCCUGGCUGAGCUUGACCAGAUUGAUGGCAAGGCAAUCACUUGCAAGGUACGUAUACGUCGUUUCUUUUGUUCUAAUACAAAGAAAUUGGGGCAGGCUUAUGAAAUGUCUAGGAAGGUUAAGGACAUUAAGAAGAAAUUAGAUGCAAUUACUGAUAAGCAUACUAAGUUUGGGCUUAGUGUUGAUAAUCAUACUAAAUUUGGGCUUAGUGUAGACUACAAACCCAUUUGUAUGAGAAGGGAGGAAACAUGUUCUUAUGUUGUUUCUAAGGAUAUUAUUGGGAGGGAUAAGGAUAAGGAGGAAAUUAUAAAUAGGUUGCUAGCAGUUCCAAAUGGUGAUGACAAUAUUAGUUUCUUGAGUAUUGUGGGAUUGGGAGGAUCAGGAAAAACUGCUCUUGCACAGUAUGUGUUUAAUGAUGAGAGGAUUAUUAAAGAGUUUCCAGAUAAGAAGUAUAGGUUAUGGGUAUGUGUAGCUGAUCAAGAUGGAGAACACUUUGAUAAGAAAUUAAUCCUUUGUAAGAUCAUAGAAUUGAUUUCUAUGCAGAAAUUUGAUAGUACAUCUUCGAUGGAAAUGGUGCAAAGGAAAUAUAGCGAGACAUUAGGAGGGCAUAAAUUUUUCCUGGUUCUUGAUGAUUUGUGGAAUGAAGAACGUUUAAAGUGGAUGGAUUUGGAAAAAUUCUUAAUGGUUGGUAAAGGGGGAAGCAGGAUUUUGGUGACUACACGUUCGAAAAUCACAACAAGUCUGAUAAGGGAUAACCAUGCCUAUGAGUUGAAAGGUUUGUCUGAAGAUGAUUCAUGGAGAUUGUUUGAAAUGUCAGCAUUCAUCAAUGGAAGAGAACAAGAAAGGCAUUCGGAAUUAGUUGAGAUUGGGAGGAAGAUAGUUAGGAAAUGUUGUGGCAUUCCUCUUCCUAUAAAGGUGCUAGGAAGUCUUUUACAUGGUCAGGAAAUAAAUAAGUGGAAGUCAUGUGAAGUGAAUGGAUUGACUAAAAUAGGUACAGGGGAUGGAAGUAUUUUAUCCAUACUAAAACUUAGUUAUCUUAAUCUUAAACCCUCCUUGAAAACUUGUUUUAGUUAUUGUGGAUUGUUUCCCAAGGAUUAUAGAUUUGAAAAGGAUGAGUUGAUUUCUCUUUGGAUAGCACAAGGUUACAUCAUUCCAUCAGCUGAAGAUGAGAGUGAUGAAAGUAUAGAAGAUGCUGCGGAGGAACAUUUCUUAAUAUUGCUACGGAGAUGUUUCUUUCAGGAUGUGAUCAGGAAUGAAUACGGUAGGGUGGUGUCAGUUAAAAUACAUGAUUUGAUGCACGAUGUUGCUCAAGAAGUGGGAAAACGUCAGGUUGAUAAAAUCCUCCAUGUUCGUUAUGUUAGUGAUGAAUAUCAAUAUGAACGCUCUUUGAGUAGGACUAAUAUUCGUUCAUUUGUAUGUUGGGAUUACACAAAACGUCAGGUUCAUAUGCAUAGUUAUUGGACGUGCCUUAGAGUGUUAGUCUUAACUGGUUCUAGAAUUGAACAGUUGGAUGAGACAAUAGCUAAGGAAUUGUUGCUGUUAAGGUAUCUUGACCUAUCUGAUACGCGUGUGAAAGUACUCCCUGAUUCGAUCACGAAACUCCAUAAUUUGCAAACAUUAGUUUUAAAAGGUUGCUUAUUGCAAGAGUUUCCUAAAGAGUUUUGCAAAUUAGUAAAACUUAGGCACUUGGACUUAAGAGAUUGUGAAGCUUUGACUCAUAUGCCUUUAGGCAUGGACAGGUUGAUGGAUCUAAGGGUACUUCCAAAAUUUGUGGUGGGAUACAAUUCUUUAGCUGCCAAUCAAAGUGAUUGCGAGUUAAAAUCUCUGAAAGUUCUCACUAAGAUAAAAGGUGACAUUGAGAUCCUGAUUUCUAAAAACUUCGAUAAUGUGGAGAAGGUGAUUGACAUUGGAGAAGGUCAUUUGAGUAAAAUGGAGCAUCUCAAUGGGAUUACAUUUAGAUUUUACUCAUUUGGUAGCUACAGUAGACAUGAAAUUUUAUUGGGAAACAUGGAGCCUCAUGCGAAUCUCAAGAGCUUUGAGUUGGAUAGAUACUUAGGCAGGACAAUACCAAGGUGGGGAAGGGCAUACAAUAAUUGGGCUAUCUAUCUUCCAAAUCUUGUUCGCAUCCAGCUCUUGAAUUGCUAUCAAUUGAUAGAGAUUCCAAUUCUUAGUAAACUACGUCAUCUGAGAUCAUUAAAACUUCAUCGUUUAAGACACUUGGAGUAUAUAGAGAACCGAGUAAACAAUAAUAGUAGGAGAUGGAGUGAUGCAGAAGCAACAAUCUUCUUUCCAUCUCUUGAAUGUCUUGAGAUUGAGUUGCUUUAUAUGUUGAAAGGAUGGUGGAAGGGAGAGGAGUUGGUGGUAGAUGGUGAUAAUCUCUGGAGGACAGAAUUUCAAUUUCUCCAUCUCUCUAAAUUAAGAAUCAGUGGGUGCCCAAAUCUAACAACAUUUCCACCCUGCCCAAAGUUGGAAACUUUAGAUGUGUGUGGAAGCAGUAAAAGGUUGCAAAUAUUAGUACAAACAACUGGCGAUGAGGUGGUCAAAUUGAGAAACUUCGAUGCAGAUAACGUGGGUUAUCUAAAGACAUUGCCCGUAAAUUGUAUAAGGAGCCUAGAUAUAGAGGGAGAUGAGGAGGUGGAAAGAUUAUAUGAAUUUGCGGAUGAUGUUUUUAAGACCCACGCAUCUUCUUUGAAAGAAUUGUGUUUUUCGGAUUGCCAGACUCUAUCAAGAGCUUUUGGAAUAAAAGGGUUGGAGCAUCUCACUGCUUUAACUUCGCUGACAUUGUGGAAUAUCGAACAAUUGGGUGUUGAAGACGACCAUGAUGUGCCUUGGAAGUCCUUAUGUCACUUCCUCUCUCGGUUGUGUGUGAUAGAAAUGGAAAAUAUGAAAGCCUUGCCAGAAUGGAUAACCACUUUAUCAUCUCUUCAAAGCCUCAUCAUUAAGAAUUGUCCUUCCCUCAAGUCACUCCCUGAAGAAAUACACAAUCUCACUUCCCUUCAAAGCCUCACCAUUGAUAAUUGUAAUUCCCUCAAAUCACUCCCGAAACAAAUGCGGAAUCUCAGUUCCCUUCAAACCCUUAAAAUUGGGAAUUGUCACGACUUGAUAGAAAGAUGCAAAGAACCCAGCGGAGUCGAGUUUCCUAACAGGUCACUUGAUAAGUGGGGGUUUUAUAACCUUGAGUCGUUCAUUCAGAGGCUUAAUUCAUAAACCAUUUCAACUGAAACAUGAGGUUGCUCCAGCAUGCAUGAGAGCUUGCUAAGACAUUGAUCAAUUAUUUGGUUCUUCGGGACCCAACGAAGGAGCUGAUUGGGACGGGAACUAGGAGAGACGGAUUAUACUAUUUUAGCAAUACAGAAUUGGUUCCUCAAGUGGGUGCGAUUGAAGCUUCGUCCCUGGAUUUAUGGCAUCGUCGUUUGGGUCAUCCUUCCGAGAAAGUAGUAAAGUUGCUUCCUCAACUUCGUAAUAAUAGAGAUGUUUUAGAUAAGGGGUGUGAAGUAUGUAUGCGUGCUAAACACUCUAGAGUUCGUUUUCCUUUGAGUACUAAUAGAGCUUCUAGAAUUUUUGAAAAAGUGCAUUGUGAUUUGUGGGGGCCGUAUAGACAUGUUUCUUCUUGUAAGGCUCGUUAUUUUCUGACAAUUGUUGAUGAUUAUUCUAGAGCAGUUUGGAUUUAUUUACUUCUUGAUAAAA